rnacentral:rRNA from 1 species
ACGGGAGGCAGCAGUGGGGAAUAUUGGACAAUGGGGGAAACCCUGAUCCAGCGACGCCGCGUGAGUGAAGAAGUAUUUCGGUAUGUAAAGCUCUAUCAGCAGGGAAGAUAAUGACGGUACCUGACUAAGAAGCCCCGGCUAACUACGUGCCAGCAGCCGCGGUAAUACGUAGGGGGCGAGCGUUAUCCGGAUUUACUGGGUGUAAAGGGCGCGUAGGCGGGACGGCAAGUCAGGUGUGAAAUCUAUGGGCUUAACCCAUAAACUGCAUUUGAAACUGUCGUUCUUGAGUGCUGGAGAGGUAGACGGAAUUCCUUGUGUAGCGGUGAAAUGCGUAGAUAUAAGGAAGAACACCAGUGGCGAAGGCGGUCUACUGGACAGUAACUGACGCUGAGGCGCGAAAGCGUGGGGAGCAAACAGGAUUAGAUACCCUGGUA